UACGUAGGGUGCAAGCGUUGUCCGGAAUUAUUGGGCGUAAAGAGCUCGUAGGCGGUUCGUCGCGUCGGCUGUGAAAUCCCGAGGCUCAACCUCGGGUCUGCAGUCGAUACGGGGCGGACUGGAGUUCGGCAGGGGAGACUGGAAUUCCUGGUGUAGCGGUGAAAUGCGCAGAUAUCAGGAGGAACACCGAUGGCGAAGGCAGGUCUCUGGGCAUUAACUGACGCUGAGGAGCGAAAAGCAUGGGGAGCGAACAGG
rnacentral:rRNA from 1 species